rnacentral:misc_RNA from 1 species
GGAUCCAAUUUCAGUACCCACUGUGCUGUAAAUGUUUAAAAUCACAGGAGAUGCAGUUUCUUACUUGGGAAAAAAAUCAAUGCCGAGUCCAACCUUCCAUACUCAUAACUCCCAGUUCCACUUCCCUUGAUAGUCUUCUGGUUUUCUAGCUCAAAAAGAAACCAACUCUAGUAUUGUGCUAUCUGAUAGCCAACAGCAAUAUCAAGAAGAUGAUGUCAGCCACGUUUCAUUGGUUACUAGAAAAUCAAAGCCUGGGUUCUUUUGGCUCUUUGCCUGAGCAAAAGUUUCUUAUAGUUCUAGGUCAUCUGUGAAAAGUCCAAGCCUUUGUAUGCCUUUUUAUUGAAUGAUGUAUUAAUAGGUGUUUCACUUCUGUGAGUUACGAUUCAGGUAUAUAUUUAUGUAUAUACGUUCUGCAAUGGCUAAUACUGUGCAGAGCCAGGAUGUUGUGACAGAGAACUUAAGGAAACAGCUUGCAGUUGCUGUGAGGAGUAUCCAGUGGAGCUAUGCAAUUUUCUGGUCACUGUCAACUACACAACAAGGGUAUAUAUUUACUUAAUUUCUUCAAACUGAUGAUUCUCUGCAAUUCUCUUAUUGUUUCUUAACUUUCAUGUCUGGGUGUUUUUUGAUGGUGAAACAAGUGUUACUCUUUCCAUAAAGAACCUACACUUCCAGUGAAUUAUUACUCCCACAAAAAUUGUGGAUUUUUCUACAUGCAGCUGGGUUGAAUUUACUCAGAUUUUGUUAAUUUAAGGGAUUAAACCCGCUAACCCAGACUUCUUCUGGCAAACUUCUGUAAUCAUUUUUUUAAGGAAAAAGAAUCUAUUGAGAUGCCUUUCCUUUUAUCUUUCUCUAUGCUUGUCUUGAGAAAAAUUUGAUGUAAAUGAUAUGCUUAAGGGUACUGGAGUGGGUGGAUGGGUAUUAUAAUGGAGACAUCAAGACUAGGAAGACUGCACAAGCUAUGGAGCUUAAGCAUGACAAAAUAGGGUUACAGAGAAGUGAGCAACUGAGAGAACUUUAUAAGUCUCUUCUUGAAGGUGAAAUUGACCAACAGGCUAAUAGGCCUUCUGCUGCAUUGUCUCCGGAGGAUCUCUCUGAUGCAGAGUGGUAUUACUUGGUUUGCAUGUCCUUUGUGUUCAAUCCCGGUGAAAGGUACUAAUCUCUCUUCCCAGUAGGAAAUCUUUCUGUGUGCACUUGUUACAUGCGCUACGAUUUCAAAAUUUUUAAUCGUAAUUGCUGCACAGUUUGCCAGGAAGAGCAUUAGCAAAUAAAGAAACCAUCUGGUUGUGCAAUGCUCAAUAUGCAGAUAGUAAAGUAUUCUCUCGCUCUUUGCUUGCCAAGGUUGGUUUUUCUUGACUAAGAUAUCUCUUAAUUGAUGUAAUCUGUAAAUUUCAUGCUGGUGUUAAAGCCAUAUCAUAUUAGAUGCAGAGAUGGAAAACUAACAUUUUUCCUUUUUGGGCCAUUUUUUUAUGUAAUUGGACAUCAACACUGCCCUUAGAGUGCAUCUAUCCAAGUAAGAAAAUCUCUUUCUAUUACAAAUAGCUGAUCAACACCUAUAACUUCAUUCUCAGAUCACCAAAUUCAGAUGGUUUGUUGUGCUCUGAAAUUGAUGUUCAAAAGUUGCUUGUGAAUUUUAUUUUGCAGACAGUGGUAUGUUUUCCCCACUUUGAGGGAGUAAUUGAGCUGGGUGUAACUGAAUUGGUUGCUGAGGACCCUAAUCUCAUUCAACGCAUCAAGGCUUCCAUAUUAGAAUUCUCGAAGCCUGUUUGUGCUGAAAAAUCUUCGUGUGUUCCUCAUGGCGUAGAUGAUGAUAAAGACCCAGUAUGCGCUCAAGUUGACUGUGAGACAGUAGAUGCAUUAGCAGCUUUGGAGGACCUGUGCCACCCCACAGAAGAUAUCAUAUUUAACCAAGAGGGAAUUGAUGAAUUGCAAGAAAAUAUGCAUGAAGAAUUGAACAUGGACUCUUCUGAUGAUUGUUCAAAUGGCUUUGAGAAGAAUCAUCAGACUGAAGACUCCAUUCUCGAAAGUUUGAAUGGUGGGACCUCUCAUGCUCAAUGUUGGCAUUUCGUGGGUGAUGAAUUAAGAGGUGGUGUUGAAGUCCACUCCAGUGAUUGUAUAACUGAGGAUAUCGCAAGUGAAGAAAACACUCUCUCUUGUCCUAAGGACAAAAAUGUUAACCACCUUCAGUUGAAAGAACUUAAAGAAGGCAACCACAGCAAAUUGAGCUCUUUGGAUCUUGGAGCCGGUGAUAACUUGCACUACAAAAGAACUCUGUCUACAGUCCUGGGAAGUUCAACCCAGUUGAUUGCAAAUUCAUGUUUCUGCAGUAGAAAUCAAAAAUCCAGUUUUGUUAAUUGGAAGAAAGGAGCAUUUAAUGGUCAUAGGCCACAAUUACAACAAAAUAUGUUAAAAAAAAUUUUAUUUACGGUCCCUUUGAUUCACAGUGGACACUCUCUUAGACCUCAUAUAGAAAAUGGAGGGAAAGAUUGUUGUAGGAAGCUGAAAAGCAAUGAAAUAUGCCGGGGACUCAAGUUAAUGAUCCAUUCUGUUGGUGAGAUCAACAAAGCAUCAAUCCUGGAUGACAUGAUUAGAUACUUAAAAGAGCUUGAGGCAAGAGUUGAGGAAUUGGAAUCUUGCAUGGACUCUGUGGAGUAUAUACAGAAAGACCCAGAAGGAAUGAUUUUGACAUGGCAGAGCAGACAUCAGAUAACUAUGAAAACAAGGCGACUGAAAAUGGCAAGAAGCUUUGGUUAAACAAGAGGAAGGCCAGUGACAUCUAUGUAACUGACCCAGAGCUUAAUGAAAUGGUAACUGAUCAGGAUGGCUUGAUGUCAGAUGUUAAGGUCAGCAUGAGGGAGAAGGAGGUUCUGAUUGAGAUGAAAUGUUCUUACAGGUAGUACAUAUUGCUUGACAUCAUGGAUGAAAUCAACAAUCUUCACUUGGAUGUGCACUCAGUUCAGUCAUCUACUAUUGAUGGCAUUCUCACAGUGACCCUAAAGUCUAAGUUUUGUGCUGAAGGGCAAUCUAGGAAGAGCCCAUUUACUGCCUUUUCUUCUUAUUUUAUUGUUCACAAUUCACAUAAGCUAAAAUCUGAUGAACUUCAUUUCAGUUUCAAGGAGCAGCAGUUGCACCUGCUGGGGUGAUCAAACAAGCACUUUGGAAGAUUGGCAGUAAUUAAGAGUUGGAGGUGUUAGUUUCAACUUAUCCCUUUUCAGUAGAGAAUUGGCUUCUAGUUCUAGAUAGUUGUGUAAUUUGUAGCUGUAGCUGCUUAAAAUUCAAACUACUUCCUAACUGAUUUCUGCAACAAUUGUUUCGACUUUAGCUGAUCAACUGCAUCCAUAAUUAUGCCCCACAUUUGCAGCAUGAGCUUUGACCAAGAAACCAAAACUUCGUUGAAAUGAAAUUGCAAAAAAGAAUGAUA